rnacentral:lncRNA from 1 species
AUGUGCUCUGAUUGGUUCUGUUGUUUUGUGAGAACUUUCUUUGUAUGUUUGGAUAAGUGUCUCCCUCUCUGUUCCAUUCCCUGUUCCAUUCCCUUCAAAUGAUGCACUGUUUUUCUUCAGUUUGCUCAGUAAACUGUUAUUAGAACUUUUCUCACUGGACUUCAUUUGAUAUAUUUAAGUGACUUUGGUAACACAAAGUACAAUUAACUCCAACUCGAUAAGACAAAGUAUCAGUAGCCUGUGUACUGGAAAACGAGUCAGUCAGAAUUAAGACAAAACUCAGUGGAAUAAUACCUUUGAAGUAGAAUCCUUCUACUACAGAUGUUGAAGUUUAAACGAACAAUGGAAAAUCAUCAAAUAUGUAAUCACUGAUUCAUAAAGAGAAAUUGCAUUUUAGAAAUCCAGAUAAUCUAGUUAAUUGAUGUCACCAAUAGAGGAAAGUUCAGAUGCAAUUCAAAGAAAAAUUAGACAAUUGCUCAGAUAAUUGCUCAGAUUAAUUCAAAGAAAAAUUAGGGAAUUGGCAAGAAAUGUCUCAAUAUGUACUUGGUACAGCUGAGCAAUACAGCUGUUAUGUCAUGCAUAUUCUACAUUCAAAAUAGCUUUAAAAAUACAGAUGGUGGUGAACCAUUAGAACAUAGGCUUUGCAUGAAGAAAGUGUGUAUUUCAGCCCCUGACACACCCAGUUAAAACAAGGCUAGGGAACCUUUCUCAGCCAAUGAACUGUAUUCCUGUUGUGGACAAGGGAGCUAUAUUCCAAUAGGAGAGGCCAGAGGAAGAAGUUGGUGGGGGCAAUGCAUAUUAUGAGCUUUACCUUUGUGUAGUUGGCUAAUUUCUACACACACCCCCCCCGUCCUCUGGCCAGGAAGUCAAGAGGCACCCUUACAGUUCAAGGCAAAAAUACUCAAGUAGGGUGUGAAGAAGUUCUAUAAAGGGAGUGACAUAGGGAGGGAUUGUGGCCUGGGGAAAAUCUUGAGGGCCUAGCAGACCUAGAGCGCUUCAUUCUCAUACCCUCCAACAUCCCACGGAUCAAAAACAGGAUGCUCAUUUUUUGGUCCCGGGCUCUCGUGUGAGCCAGUUGAUCCAUGAGAUCAAAAAAAGAGCAUCUUUUAGUCUGGUGCUCUGGCGCAAGCCAGCUGACAUGUGCCACAAUGCAGGAACAAAAAAGAGAGAGAGAUUUCAGGAUCCAAUCAGAAGCCAGGAUGGCUUCUGUAAUUCUGGGAUGUCCCGCUUAAAACGGGAUGGUUGAAUACAGUCUCCCCACUGGCCUGAUAUUUCCCAUCCCUGAACUGGGUAAGCAGAGCUGGUAAAGAACUCUGUGAGAGAAUGUGGAAAAUUGUUGUCACUCAGAGGAGACAGUACUAGGCUAAAUGAGCCAAUAGCAUGUUUCAGUACAAGUCAACUUCACAACCCCACAAGCCUUUUGUUGUGCCUCUCCCAUACCCAGCAGUAAAUUGACAGUCAGACAGUUUCACCCCUGACCGUCGGUUGACAAGAGUUCACUUCCUUCAUUCUGAACUAUUGCACCCGUGAAGAUUGCCAGAGAAUGCCUUCUUACCAAUAAUGUGCAACCCCUCUAAAUGGCAUGUGGCCUUUUCAGGAGAUGCUCCUACAGAAUUCUCUCCCUCAAAGACACAUCAAAGCCUAAAUAUCUUUGGAAAGUACUGAAGGUGUUGUUGUUUUUUAAAGUAAGCUUUUAGUGACUAACAGUAAGCUGAGAAAUGGAGAAAGAAAUUUGUCUGGGAUAUCUUAAGCAAUAUUAAAAGUAAAGGGACCCCUGACCAUUAGGUCCAGUCGUGGCCGACUCUGGGGCUGCGGCGCUCAUCUCGCUUUAUUGGCCGAGGGAGCCGGCGUACAGCUUCCGGGUCAUGUGGCCAGCAUGACUAAGCCACUUCUGGCAAACCAGAGCAGCACACGGAAAGGCCAUUUACCUUCCCGCUGGAGCGGUACCUAUUUAUCUACUUGCACUUUGAUGUGCUUUCGAACUGCUAGGUUGGCAGAAGCAGGGACCGAGCAAUGGGAGCUCACCCCGUCGUGGGGAUUCGAACCGUCGACCUUCUGAUCGGCAAGUUCCAGGCUCUGUGGUUUUACCCACAGUGCCACCCAUGUCCCAUGUGCCAAAACAAAGAUAGCUGUGUUGGUCCAUAAAGGGUGGAGGCCCCCAAAAUUGGCAGUCGGGCAAUACCUUUCUACGGACCAACCAAAAUGGAACAAAAGAGUGGCAAGCUUUUGAGUGCCCCAGAACCCUUCUUCAGGCAAGACUUCACACAAAACAGAAGGGGUGUGGGGAAGGUUUAAAUUCCCACCAUUUAAAUCCUGCCCAUCAGCUCUUUUGGUGGGGAGGCUUGGGAAGUGGGACUGAAUUACUUCAAUAGUAUUUCACAUAAAAGUAAAUAGAUUAAAAAUUAGGGAGCUAUACUUGUGAAGAACAAUAUAUUAACUUCCCAACAUCCCACACAUUUUAAAAAACUCUUCCUGACCCUACACCCACUUCUUAAAUGCCAUCUGCUCAGGGGGAAUAUUUGUGUUUUGUUUUCUUCUCCAUUGUGUCAAAUUAAUGUUCUUUUGAUAGUAUUUAGAACAGUUCUCCCUAUUAAUUUUCUAUAUUUCUUUUAAGAAAAUGACACCUUAUUUGGCACCAGAGUUGUCUGCAUCUGGUGCAUGGAACAAGAAGUAAAGUAAUGUGUUCUAAACUGUGCAAUUGAACGCUUUUUGAAAUAGUGAAUCAAUAUGAUUGGCUGUGGUUUUUUCUGU